GGAGGGAAAUAGUAACCUAACCAAUGACGUCAGAGGAGGCAAAACACACACAUACUCGUCAUUUAAACCCAAGCGGGAAAACAGAAUGAACAUUGGUCUUUCGUUAAAUCUCCAGUGAAGGUCCACGUCCCGUUUGUAUUUUAUUGUUAAAAGUUAGGACAACAUGGUGAGGACGAAGGCAGACAGUGUCCCCGGAACUUACAGAAAAGCUGUGGCUGCAUCUGCACCCAGGAAGUCAUUGGGUGCCUCGAGUUCUGCUAAUGCAUUAAGCAGCUCUCAAGCAGGCACACCUGCAAAGAGUAAAUUUGCUGGUGGUAAUCCUGUGUGUCCUCGGCCCACCCCAACUUGGCAGAAGGGAAUCGGAGAUUUCUUUGGUGGGCCCAGCAGGAAGCCUGACAAAGAGAACCACCUCCCCCAGUCAGAUGAUGAAGAGGCCGGAGUCAGUGGAGUGUCCAAGUCAUCCAGGAUUUCCAGACCACUGCCUGCUGAGGAUGCUGAGGGUGAAUGAGCUUAGACAAUGGUGCCCCACUUGAAAAGCCAUUGCCUCUAAUACUUGAAUGGGUUACAACCUAUGCUAUCACAACCUGCAGCUGAGCGACUUAUCCACGCCUUUAUCUCAUCCUGUUUGGACUCUUGUAACGCCCUGUUGGCGCAUCUGCCAAAAUCCCAGUUCACACCUACCAAGCUAUCCACAACUCUGGACCCAAGUACCUGUCUUACCUUAUCCUAACCCACCUUUGCUCCUUCAGCUCCCUUCAACAGACUAAACUAUGGGUGACACGGCUUUCAGUUGAAUGGCUCCUCUGCUGUGGAGCGCACUUCCAGGCCUGCAGAGACUAUGGCCUCGUAAGGCACAGCUACAGGCUGCUGUUCAGAAAAGUAUAAGGAUAUGUUAAUUCUGUUCUGUUCAUAGGCUCUGACACCUGAAUAUAACCUUGAUGUCUGCAUACUAUGUUCUGUGUUGUAUUGUUUAAAUUUUCUUU